rnacentral:rRNA from 1 species
GUGGGGAAUUUUGGACAAUGGGCGCAAGCCUGAUCCAGCAAUGCCGCGUGCAGGAAGAAGGCCUUCGGGUUGUAAACUGCUUUUGUACGGAACGAAACGGUCCGGGUUAAUACCCUGGGCUAAUGACGGUACCGUAAGAAUAAGCACCGGCUAACUACGUGCCAGCAGCCGCGGUAAUACGUAGGGUGCAAGCGUUAAUCGGAAUUACUGGGCGUAAAGCGUGCGCAGGCGGUUUUGUAAGACAGGCGUGAAAUCCCCGGGCUCAACCGGGGAAUUGCGCUUGUGACUGCAAGGCUGGAGUGCGGCAGAGGGGGAUGGAAUUCCGCGUGUAGCAGUGAAAUGCGUAGAUAUGCGGAGGAACACCGAUGGCGAAGGCAAUCCCCUGGGCCUGCACUGACGCUCAUGCACGAAAGCGUGGGGAGCAAACAGGAUUAGAAACCCUAGUAGUCC